rnacentral:rRNA from 1 species
GUAGUCCACGCCCUAAACGAUGUCAACUAGUUGUUGGGGAUUCAUUUCCUUAGUAACGUAGCUAACGCGUGAAGUUGACCGCCUGGGGAGUACGGUCGCAAGAUUAAAACUCAAAGGAAUUGACGGGGACCCGCACAAGCGGUGGAUGAUGUGGAUUAAUUCGAUGCAACGCGAAAAACCUUACCUACCCUUGACAUGGUCGGAACCCUGCUGAAAGGUGGGGGUGCUCGAAAGAGAACCGGCGCACAGGUGCUGCAUGGCUGUCGUCAGCUCGUGUCGUGAGAUGUUGGGUUAAGUCCCGCAACGAGCGCAACCCUUGUCCUUAGUUGCUACGCAAGAGCACUCGUAGGGAGCUGCCGGUGACGAAACCGGAGGAAGGUGGGGAUGACGUCAAGUCCUCAUCGGCCUUAGUGGGUAGGCUUCACACGUCAUACAAGUGGUACGGAACGAGA